rnacentral:rRNA from 1 species
GACGAACGCUGGCGGCGUGCCUAAUACAUGCAAGUCGAGCGCAGGAAACUGACGGAACUCUUCGGAGGGAAGGCAGCGGAAUGAGCGGCGGACGGGUGAGUAACACGUAAGGAACCUGCCUCAAGGAUUGGGAUAACUCCGAGAAAUCGGAGCUAAUACCGGAUAGUUCAUCGGACCGCAUGGUCCGUUGAUGAAAGGCGCUCCGGCGUCACCUUGAGAUGGCCUUGCGGUGCAUUAGCUAGUUGGUGGGGUAACGGCCCACCAAGGCGACGAUGCAUAGCCGACCUGAGAUGGUGAUCGGCCACACGGGGACUGAGACACGGCCCAGACUCCUACGGGAGGAAGCAGUAGGUAAUCUUCCACAAUGGACGAAAGUCUGAUGGAGCAACGCCGCGUGAGUGAUGAAGGUUUUCGGAUCGUAAAACUCUGUUGUAAGGGAAGAACACGUACGAGAGGGAAUGCUCGUACCUUGACGGUACCUUACGAGAAAGCCACGGCUAACUUCGUGCCAGCCGCCGCCGUAACAC